CUAACACAUAUAUAUGGAAUCAUUAAAAAAAAAAUGGUUCUGGCUCUGCCCCAUGAUGUACAGUCCCUUUCCACAACGUUGGAGAUGAAGCUGGGCCUUGAGUCUGCGCCUGCAUAUUCCUACAGCUUCUCAGAGUCCUGUGGACAAUGACUGAGGAGACAAACCAUGCAGAGAGACAUCU